GAUGUCUGGUUUAAUGCACCUGGCCCGCAGCCACUAGGCUUGUAAGUGCCGGCGCGCGUUUGCCAUCCUUGAAGAAAACGAUUCUGCCAUCAACUUGGUUGGGAUCGCGAUGUACUUUGAAAAAAUUAGAGUGUUUAAAGCAGGCUUUUGCUAUGAAUACAUUAGCAUGGAAUAAUAAUCUGGGACUUCGGUUGAUUUUGUUGGUUUCUAUAACUGAAGUAAUGAUUGAUAGUAUUGGCCGGCCAGAGGUGAAAUUCUUGGAUUGGAUCAAGACUAACUUAUGCGAAAGCAUU
rnacentral:rRNA from 1 species